rnacentral:rRNA from 1 species
UGAACGCUAGCUACAGGCUUAACACAUGCAAGUCGAGGGGCAUCAGGAAGAAAGCUUGCUUUCUUUGCUGGCGACCGGCGCACGGGUGAGUAACACGUAUCCAACCUGCCCUUUACUCGGGGAUAGCCUUUCGAAAGAAAGAUUAAUACCCGAUAGCAUAAUGAUUCCGCAUGGUUUCAUUAUUAAAGGAUUCCGGUAAAGGAUGGGGAUGCGUUCCAUUAGGUUGUUGGUGAGGUAACGGCCCACCAAGCCUUCGAUGGAUAGGGGUUCUGAGAGGAAGGUCCCCCACAUUGGAACUGAGACACGGUCCAAACUCCUACGGGAGGCAGCAGUGAGGAAUAUUGGUCAAUGGGCGCUAGCCUGAACCAGCCAAGUAGCGUGAAGGAUGAAGGCUCUAUGGGUCGUAAACUUCUUUUAUAUAAGAAUAAAGUGCAGUAUGUAUACUGUUUUGUAUGUAUUAUAUGAAUAAGGAUCGGCUAACUCCGUGCCAGCAGCCGCGGUAAUACGGAGGAUCCGAGCGUUAUCCGGAUUUAUUGGGUUUAAAGGGAGCGUAGGUGGACUGGUAAGUCAGUUGUGAAAGUUUGCGGCUCAACCGUAAAAUUGCAGUUGAUACUGUCAGUCUUGAGUACAGUAGAGGUGGGCGGAAUUCGUGGUGUAGCGGUGAAAUGCUUAGAUAUCACGAAGAACUCCGAUUGCGAAGGCAGCUCACUGGACUGCAACUGACACUGAUGCUCGAAAGUGUGGGUAUCAAACAGGAUUAGAUACCCUGGUAGUCCACACAGUAAACGAUGAAUACUCGCUGUUUGCGAUAUACAGUAAGCGGCCAAGCGAAAGCAUUAAGUAUUCCACCUGGGGAGUACGCCGGCAACGGUGAAACUCAAAGGAAUUGACGGGGGCCCGCACAAGCGGAGGAACAUGUGGUUUAAUUCGAUGAUACGCGAGGAACCUUACCCGGGCUUAAAUUGCAGUGGAAUGAUGUGGAAACAUGUCAGUGAGCAAUCACCGCUGUGAAGGUGCUGCAUGGUUGUCGUCAGCUCGUGCCGUGAGGUGUCGGCUUAAGUGCCAUAACGAGCGCAACCCUUAUCUUCAGUUACUAACAGGUCAUGCUGAGGACUCUGGAGAGACUGCCGUCGUAAGAUGUGAGGAAGGUGGGGAUGACGUCAAAUCAGCACGGCCCUUACGUCCGGGGCUACACACGUGUUACAAUGGGGGGUACAGAAGGCAGCUAGCGGGUGACCGUAUGCUAAUCCCAAAAGCCUCUCUCAGUUCGGAUCGAAGUCUGCAACCCGACUUCGUGAAGCUGGAUUCGCUAGUAAUCGCGCAUCAGCCACGGCGCGGUGAAUACGUUCCCGGGCCUUGUACACACCGCCCGUCAAGCCAUGGGAGCCGGGGGUACCUGAAGUACGUAACCGCAAGGAUCGUCCUAGGGUAAAACUGGUGACUGGGGCUA